GGACCUAUGGUGUAGCCCGGUUUAACACAUCCCCCUGUCACGGGGAAGAUCAGGGGUUCAAAUCCCCUUGGGUCCGCCA
rnacentral:tRNA from 2 species